UAUAACGUGGUGUCCCAAGAUCCUUCUUC
rnacentral:piRNA from 1 species